rnacentral:rRNA from 1 species
UACGUAGGUGGCAAGCGUUGUCCGGAAUUAUUGGGCGUAAAGCGUGUGUAGGCGGCCAUUCAAGUCGGAUGUGAAAGCCCCGGGCUCAACCCGGGAAGUGCACCCGAAACUGGAUGGCUUGAGUAUCGGAGAGGUUGGUGGAAUUCUCGGUGUAGAGGUGAAAUUCGUAGAUAUCGAGAGGAACACCGGUGGCGAAGGCGGCCAACUGGACGAAUACUGACGCUGAGACACGAAAGCGUGGGGAGCAAACAGG